rnacentral:rRNA from 1 species
AUUGAACGCUGGCGGCAGGCCUAACACAUGCAAGUCGAACGAGUGGCGGACGGGUGAGUAAUGUCUGGGAAACUGCCCGAUGGAGGGGGAUAACUACUGGACACGUUAGCUCAUACCGCAUACCAUCGGAUGUGCCCAGAUGGGAUUAGCUAGUGGGUGGGGUAACGGCUCCCCUAGGCGACGAUCCCUAGCUGGUCUGAGAGGAUGACCAGCCACACUGGAACUGAGAAACGGUGCAGACGCCUACGGGAGGCAGCAUUGGGGAAUAUUGCACAAUGGGCGCAAGCCUGAUGCAGCGAUGCCGCGUGUAGGAAGAAGGCCUUCGGGUUGUAAAGUACUUUUAGCGAUGAGGCGUUACUUGCAGAAGAAGCACCGGCUAACUCCGUGCCAGCAGCCGCGGUAAUAC